rnacentral:rRNA from 1 species
GAUGAACGCUGGCGGCGUGCCUAAUACAUGCAAGUCGAACGAACAGACGAGUAGCUUUCUCCUCUGACUUUAGCGGCGGCCAGGGGAGUAACACGUGGAUAACCUCCCUCUCCCUCUGUCAUAACUUCGGGAAACCGGUGCUAAUACCAGAUAAUAUAUUGAGCCUCUUGGAUCAUUAGUGAAAGACGGUUUUUCUUUCACUUAUAGAUGGAUUCGCGCCGCAUUAGCUUGUUGGUAAGGUAACGGCUUACCAAGGCAACGAUUCGUAGCCGACCUGAGAGGGGGGUCGACGGCAACAGAAGUGAGAAGAGGCGCAGAAGCCUACGGGAGGAAGCAGUAGGGAAGAAUACGGAAUGGGGGAAAGAAGGACGAAGCAACGACGCGGGAGGAAGGAAGGUCGUCGGAGCGUAAAACUCUGUUUUUAGGGAAGAAGAAAGGUGGAAGGAACUAUGCACGGCUUGACGGUACCUAAACAGAAAGCCACGGCUAACUACGUG